ACGGUAGUCUGAGGCUGGGGGGCGGUAGCUGUUCUUAUUCCGCUAAUGUCCUGACAAACCAGGAAGUGGGCUAUAUUUUCAAAAACUGACAGGAACUGCGUCCGCUUCCAUGAGGAAGGGUUGUGCGGGACGGGGCAUCAGUGUUGGGGGUUACACGGUGUCUCUAAUGUCAGAAGCUGCUCAUGUACAAGUAUGAGGCAUAGCAGUGUGAGCUCGUAGUAUUACACGAAUGAGUAUAUUACACGAAGGAGCUGUUCGAAUCGAACGAGACUUUACAUGUCUAUGGAGUUUACAAUUCAGCAUUCAUGGAACAGUAUUCCCAUACCACACGACCCAGUGGAAAUCUGCCUAAAACCAACCCAUCAAGGGCUGCAGAUGGAUGUUUUGGCUCCAUUUUUUAAUGACCCUUCUGCACCCUUAGGCCCAGUUGGGGAACCCUUCCAAGCACUUUGGGACUAUGAAGUUGUGGAAGCUUUUUUCCUUAAUUCUGAAAAGGAGCAGUAUCUUGAAGUUGAACUUGGCCCACACGGGCAUCAUUUGGUGCUGCUUCUCUCACAACGCAGAACUAUUUGGAAGGAUUGUCUACCAUUGUCCUUUAAAGCAUCCAUAUCUCAGGAGACUUGGAAAGGUAGAGCACUUAUUCCAUGGGAAUACUUUCCCCCUUCAGUAGACCGAUUUAAUGCUUAUGCAAUUCAUGGCUCUGGGCUAAAGAGAACAUACGAGGCACUUUAUCCUAUUCCUGAAAAUGAAGUACUAGAAGGACAGCAACCUGACUUUCACCGGUUGGAGUAUUUCAGAUCUUUUAACUGCAAUGUGUUGAUGGGUGAAGAAUGGAAAACGCCUGCAUCCAGCCUCUGGAAAAUCAUAGGUGAAACCAAGAAAGUUUCUUUGAUGCUUCAGAGAGAUGGUUUCUAAGAGCAACAACAACUGAGCGUUUAGGUGAAUCAUACCACUGAGGACCAAGUGAUGAACUGGAGAUUCUGAUGUAAAGUGGACAUUGUCAGACUAACCAAGGCUGGUAACGGAAGUCAUGCAGGGGGUGAUAAUCAAGGCUGUCAUGGGCCAGCUUCUGUGCACCCAAGAAAGCAUUUCUCAUGAUCAGAUAUAACAUACUUUAAUCACAGAGCUGGAAAUGUGGUAAAUGUGGCCAGUGCCCUGAGCCAUCUUUUCCAUUACAUUGACAGAAUAAGGAAGAAAGGAGAGAAAUGGAGUGUGUCAUUUUGAGAGUUAAUGACAAACAGGGAAAUGACUGUCAAGAAACAUAACAAUUUGGAACAUGAAGGAGACAUUACAGUGUUAAAGAAUGCAUUGAGGAAUGUGAGAUGAAUAGAGAAAGACUUCAUUCUAUUUAGACAUAUAUUUGUUUGAACACUGAGUGUCAGUCACUCACUGUUAAAGCGCAGUCAGGAGAUUGCACUUUUCUAUAUGUUAACAACUUUCACUGGUUUGUAGUUCAUCAAAGCUUCUGAGCUAUGUUGUUCAAAUUCUUUUCCUUGUCAUGCCCUUGCAAAUAAAACAAA